rnacentral:rRNA from 1 species
UACGAAGGGGGCUAGCGUUGCUCGGAAUCACUGGGCGUAAAGCGCACGUAGGCGGCUUGUUAAGUCAGGGGUGAAAUCCUGGAGCUCAACUCCAGAACUGCCUUUGAUACUGGCGAGCUUGAGUUCGGAAGAGGAAGCGGAAUUUCCGGUGUAGCGGUGAAAUGCGUAGAUAUCGGAAGGAACACCAGUGGCGAAGGCGGCUCACUGGCCCGAUACUGACGCUGAGGUGCGAAAGCGUGGGGAGCAAACAGG